AUGUGUUUCCAGAUCCCUGCUAUCACUACCACUCGCAAACCACGCAUCACACAAUGUAGACAGCACAAUCCUAACAACCUGCACACUCUGCCUAUGUCUGCUAAUACACUACUUUCUUUUUCUAUUGGUCUCUGUAAUUGCCAGUAUGCUGUAAACAAAGCCGAUUUCAUUACUUCUAUUAUUAGUCAUUCAAAGUUAAAUCUCAUGGCCCUGACAGAGACCUGGAUCAAACCAGAGGACACUGCUACACCUGCAGCACUCUCCAAUAAUUUCUCAUUUUCCCACUCCCCCCGUUUGACUGGAAGAGGUGGAGGUACUGGUCUGCUCAUCUCUAAUGAUUGGAAAUUUAAUCCUUUACCAUCUUUGGGUAUCAACAGUUCCUUUGAAUCUCAUUCCGUUACUGUUACCUACCCUCUUAAAAUACAUUUUGUAGUUGUCUAUCGACCCCCAGGACCACUAGGUAACUUUUUGGAUGAAUUAGAUGUGCUGCUCUCAACCUUUCCUGAGGAUGGUACUCCCCUAGUUAUGCUUGGAGAUUUCAACAUCCACCUAGAUAAACCUCUAUCUGCUGACUUCCACACUCUGCUUGCCUCUUUUGAUCUCAACCGAGUGUCAACUACUGCUACUCACAAAUCAGGCAACCAACUGGACCUUAUUUACACACGACACUGCUCCACUGAUCAUGUACUGGUUACUCCACUGCACACCUCAGAUCACUUCCUCCUCACUCUUAACCUCAACAUGGUUCCUGACACAUCACUUACCCCUCCACAUGUCAUCUUUCGACGUAACCUACGCUCACUCUCACCCUCCCGGCUAUCUGCUAUGGUUUCAUCUUCGCUUCCUUCCCCUAAACUGUUAGCAUCUUUUGAUGCUAACAGUGCUACUGAUACUUUCUGCUCCACUCUUACAUCUUGUUUAGACACUGUUUGCCCCUUGUCUUCCAGACCAGCCCGUACCACCCCUUCAGCCCCUUGGUUAUCUGAUGUUCUACGCGAACACCGUUCUAAGCUUAGAGCUGCUGAAAGUGUGUGGCACAAAUCCAAAAAUACUACUGACCUUAAUGUGUAUCACUUGAUUGCUCAUCCCAAAGAAGCACGAAGUCACUUUUACGGACUUUUAAAUUAA
ensembl:lncRNA